CGCGGGGUAGAGCAGUCUGGUAGCUCAACAGGCUCAUAACCUGUAGGUCGCUGGUUCAAAUCCAGUCCCCGCAA
rnacentral:tRNA from 1 species